rnacentral:rRNA from 1 species
ACGUAGGAGGCGAGCGUUAUCCGGAAUUACUGGGCGUAAAGCGCACGCAGGCGGCUUGGUAAGUUGGACGUGAAAGCUCCUGGCUUAACUGGGAGAGGUCGUUCGAAACUGCUGAGCUUGAGGCUGGAAGAGGGGUGUGGAAUUCCCGGUGUAGUGGUGGAAUGCGUAGAUAUCGGGAGGAACACCAGUGGCGGAAGCGGCACCCUGGUCCAGGCCUGACGCUGAUGUGCGAAAGCGUGGGGAGCAAACAG